GGCAGGAGAAGGGGGGGGGGAGUUGUGGACUGAGUAUGUCUGCAGGAGAGAGUGAAGAGAGCUAGAAUUCCGCCGCUCUGACCCUGGAAACGGGCUGCUAGCAGGACUGACGUCCUUUGGAUGUUCACUGACAGUGCUUAGAACAUUCAUUGACAGCUAGCUAAAUAAGAGAAAUACAUUGUUUCUACUGUCUCCUGCUGUUUCUAAAAAGGAGUAAAGUAACUGAAAAUUGAAACUAACUUUGGAUUGUUUGAACUGCGUUUAAAAGAGGACAUUACUGAUUAAUACAAAAUAACAUAAAUAGAAACUGUUUCCCCCUAGUGGAAGCCUUUGAAACUGGUUGCUUUACAAGAGUUGGGCUGGGGGAAUUUCCAGCUGCAAGAUAAAAAACUGUGAGACUCUGGGACUGACCUUGAAUCUUUUAAGUGUUAUGGCAAAUGGAAAGGAAAAAACAGAUCAACCAACUGCUGAAAAAACAUUAAGGUCUGGGAAGACUUGGCAGCAACCCAGGAGAGGUGCAACACCAGGCCCUCCUGCUUCCUCUGCUGCUGCUUCUGCAUCAGUGCAACCAAAAUCAAGGGGAAUGUUGUCAGAAGAGGUUUUAGCGGUUGCAUUAGGUAAGAUAAACGAUUCAUUGGAACAGCUUAAUAAGAAAGUGGAUGUUGCAGCGGAAAGCAUAAACAAUUUGGGACUAAAGGUGAAUACCAAUACAGAAACUAUUCAGAAAUUGAUACAGGAAUCUACUCUGAUACGGCAGACUGCGGAGGAAGCCAGGGAGAAAGCUGUUGCUGCUGAAUGUAAAGUAACACAACUGGAGAAAGAGAGAGUCCCAGCCCUACAGAGGCAACUUGAUGAGCAUUAAAAAUCAUAUUGUUAGAAAAGCAUUGUUUAAUGUUUGGAUAAGAUAUAAAGAUUUGCUAGAAAAGAAAACCCCAAGAUGGUUGCCACCUGCUGGGAAGUUUUUGCCUCUGCACAUGAGUCUGAGAAUGUUCUGAAUAGUUCACAUUGAGUUCUUGAAACAUCACACCCUGACCUGUUCUUAAUGCAUUGUUGACCACAUCUACGGACUGCGAUUGUUAUGUUCUUUCAAGUCAUGCAAUAUCAAUCACUAGUAACCAUGUGUUCCCUUUCCCAACCUUCAUGAUUAAUGCCCUUGCAUUGUAUUCAUGUUAACCAAUCAGCAACAAGCACAUAUGUGGAAAUGCUGUAAUAUUCAAUAAAAGGGACUUCCCGAGCACAUGAUCGGGAGAUGCCUCCCGUAUGACACCUUGCCAUUCAUCUGUCGCUUAUUUCAACCCAACAGUCACCAAUGGAAGCGAAGGCACAGAAAAAACUCAAUAUGGAGGCCAAAUGGCUGAAAUAUUGGGAAAUUCUGGAACAAGAUGGAGACAGACUAAAAUUGCAGAGUUUUGAAAAAUUGAAAAAUAAAGUGCGAGAUUGGCUCCAUUAUUACCAAAUAAUGGAGGCAUACAAUUUGGACAAAAAAGUUGGUUUCCAGGUGGAAAAAUCAAAAUUGGAAACAGAACUGUUAGAUCCAAAAAUCAAGAAUUUGUCAAGAAUGUAUAACUUGCUGUUGAAAUGGAACACUCAGGAUGAAACGGUGAAAUCAGCUAUGAUUAAAUGGGCACAAGAUGUUGGACAUAAUAUAAUGAUGGCUGACUGGGAACAGUUAUGGACCACAGGUAUGAAAUUCACUGCAUGUAAUGCCUUAAGAGAAAAUUUAAUGAAAAUGAUUUAUAGGUGGUACAUGACACCAGUCAAGCUUGCAAAAAUUUACCAUUUGCCCGACAAUAAAUGUUGGAAAUGUAAGGAGACUGAAGGUACAUUCUUUCACCUUUGGUGGACAUGCCCAAGGAUUAAGACAUACUGGGAGAUGAUUUAUAAUGAAAUGAAAAAGAUACUUAAAUAUACCUUCCUGAAGAAACCAGAGGCCUUUCUCCUGGGCAUGGUCGGCCAAUUGGUGCCAAAGAAGGAUGAGCCUUUUUUAUGUAUGCAACAACAGCAGCAAGAAUACUCAUCGCGAAGUAUUGGAAGACACAAGAUUUACCCACCCGGGAAGAAUGGCAGAUGAAGUUGAUGGACUAUAUGGAAUUGGCGAAAAUGACUGGCAGAAUCCAAGACCAGGGAGAAGAGUUGGUGGAAGAAGACUGGAAAAAGUUUAAAGACUAUUUACAGAAAUACUGUAAAAUUAAUGAAUGUUAGAAAAAUGUUGGAAUGAAAUUAUAUGGCUUUAGUAGGAAUGUUAUAAGCAAUUAAGUAUAAAUAGAUUAAUAGAGUAUUAAAGGAAAAAAUAAGGUUAGAAUGUGUUAAGAUAAUUAUAGGAUAGAAAACAGAGGAAGAUGGAAAGGAAUUGCUGAAACAAUUAACAGAAGUGGAAUACAAAAAGGGAGGUGUGAGGAGGUCGUGGAAAUAAGUGAAUGAAAGAUAAGAUAUUGAAAUUGUUUGAUUUAUUUUAAACUGUUUUUGUUUUGUUUUGUUAGUUUAAUGUGUUUAAUGUGUCAUUGUUAUGUAGUGUUUUUGUAUUGUAUUGUAUUGUAUUGUAUUGUUUUUGUAGUGUUUAAAUUGUUGGAAAAGUAAUAAAUAUUAAUUAAAAAAAACAACACAAUAUCCCUCCCCCCAAAUCAGGCAGAGGCACCUUCUGUGACCAGCGUCCCUGCUUGCAGAAGCUGGCAUUGCCUGGUUUUCAGGAAUCCCCUUUUCUCUCAACCUCUGAGCUGCAUGCCUCCCUAUUCUGCAAGGUCCUCUAACAUUUGGGAGAGACUUUGUAAAGGGACAGGAUCAGGGGGCUAUGUAGGGGGGGGGAGUAGAUGGGAAUAAGGAAAGUUCACUUCCCCCUGCCCCCUUCUGUGGGCAUUCUCUGGGUCCACUCUUUCAUAUGGUAUAGUCCUCUGGUUGACCAUUCAUGUUCCUGGAGGCCACUUUGAGAAGUAUGAGGUGGACCAACAUCUCAACCUCUAGCCCUCUGUCACGGGGCCAAGAGUCAGCUUUGCCUGUCUGAAGGGGGAGAAGGUGGAGUGACUCCCACCUGCAACUGAUCAGUCUUCAAGGACACUGAGGAGAAGACACGGAUAAGGACCAGCUGGCUACAGCCUUCUUAAGCAGAGCUUCCAGCAGCAGUCAGAUGCCGGUAACAGCGCUUGUAUUUCCUGGCCCUACCUUGCUUCUUCCUGCUAGUCUUGACCCUUGACCCUCUGAUCAUUGGAUUCCCUGUCCCCUGGACCAUCUGACCACGCAGAUUGCUGUGUGCCCGACCCUAAGACUGGAUCUGACUUUGGAUGCUGACUCUGCCUCCAGGCAAGUACACCUCAGAGACACUUCUGGUUGGCUGGCCUCUCCCUCCACUGAGCUCUGCAAGUUGUUGCUCAGCAACGAGAUUAUGACACCCUACAAAGUAGCCUGCUUGUAAAUUUUGCUCUGGAGUACAUAUUUUCCUCACCAGAUGCUUCUAAGUAGGCUGCUAUUGGGCCUGGUGGCUUCUUGGAGGCUAUAUUUGACUGAGGAGUUGCUGUUCCAUAAUGCAGUCUAUAUUCUUUGUUGCUUAUAGCCCUCUUUCAGGUUAAUCAGCCACAGUAAUUCCUACAGACUCCCUUGGCUCCAAAUUCAUUUUCAUGCUUUUAGUUCUUCAACCUUCCUAUUGUUAAAUGAAAAAAAGUUCACUUCACUUUAUAAAAUAAGCAUGUUUCACCUCUUUCAGUUUUAACAUAUGCGUCCCAGUUUUAUUUAUUUUGUACAGUUUUGAUGUGUUGCAUCAAGCUGUAUCAAUCAUAUAGCAUGGUUCUAUAAAGCAGUGUGAUUGACAGCAAGGAGCUGACACAUAGCAAUCCAAGCAGUUCAAGUUCUAAAUCAAGAUGUAUUCAAUGAAUAUAUUUACAGCUGGAAAUACUUCUUGCUCAUCUUUAUAAAUGAGAUUGCACAUUUUUGGUUAAAAAAUAUAGCACAGAUCUUUUCACCUUACUUUUUUAGCUGUCACUUAAACUGUCCUGUGACAUUGAGUCUCAUAAUCGCCAUUCAUAACCCUGUCAAUAUUAGUUGAUGUAUGGAAGCUUCUUUGAAUAUAACUUUACUUGGAGCAUGCUCACGGACAUUCAGUGAAAACCUGUGCGUUUCUCACAUCUGUUGUGUCACUGGCAGCUUAAUCUUUCUGCUACCUGCGUGCGAUCCUUGAGCUGUUUAUAAUUAUCACUGCAGUACAAGAGGAGGGACUGAGAAGCUGCCAUAUUUUAGCUCUUCCACAUGCUGAAGAGACCUGAAGUCAACUGAUGUCAGAGGCUUCAUUGGCACUAGGAGUCAGCAUGUAGCACCUAUUGGAAACAAUCAGUUUUGUGAGUGGAUGUAAAAACUAGCCUACUAUACAAAAGUAGAAUGUUCAUUUAUUGCUCUACUCACUUUUACCUCUACCACACCAACCACUGGUGGAAAGUGAGUGCAAUGGCUAAUGAGUGCAGUGGCUGAUGGGAUUGCCAACUGUUGUUUCCUGCUCUCCUGCCCCCUUCUGCUGUUUUUCUAAAACAUAUUUUGAUCUCCCCUCAUUUUCCCAGCAUUUUUCUUAGUUAUUUAUUUAUUGGUUAGUUGUUUGGUUGUUUGGUUGCCCAUGUAAAAUAGCGUUGGCAUAAGCAAAGUGAGUGUAGGUUGCGGGCUUACUGUAGAGUGUUGCCAUCUGCUUAAGCUUGUGAAAGGUAUUCAGUCAGGGCGAGUGAUACUUGUCAGUAUUUUGUUUUAAUCCAUACAGUUGAAAUUUAAAUUGGAAUUCUACAACAUAAUAUGCCUUCUAAUUACAUGAAGACUUUUCAUUCCACAUGCCUCUGGAAAAAUGGUAUGUUUUGGCUCUAUGCCCCCCCCCCAUUUUUUGGGUUAAUGAAUGAGAAUAUUAUUAUAUUUUUAAAUCCAGUAAAUGAAUAAAUUCAGAUUUGGUACCUGAGCCUCAAAGAUAUCUGAAGUUUCAUAUGAUGAAUAUGUACAAUGCACAGCAUUCAGUAUACUAGUCUGUGUUGCUGGAUAACACAAUAGUUAUAUGAGUUUAAAACGUUUUAGCAAGCAUUUGUGAAUCAAGGAAGUUCUGUCAUUGCAUGCAUGAAAAAUCUUUUCCUGUUCCAUGUUUCUCAUGGGUGAGGUUCUGGAAAACCAUGCCUGUGGUUCUGGAAAAGCAAUUCCAGAAUGGGAUCAGCCCCAAGCAGAUUUCUCUGUGUGGAAGGAAUAGUAGGCAGAAACUCAAAUGAUAGAAAGAUAUUAUGGAUGAGCAGAGACAGGAAUGGUGAUGUUCAGCUUCCAGACCAGAUGGGCUACUGUGUCUGCUCAUAAGGAGGAUGAAUGUUCCAAAAUGCCUCUGUAGACUCUAGAAUAUAUCACUGAUACUAGAGGUCAGAGUAAGCACAGAGGAAAGGCUUGUGCUAACACCAAGUUAUAGUGACUAAGGAGCCCUAGCUAUCAAAGCAGCCCCCAUGAGCACUUUUAAUUUCCACAGCACUGUUUGUCUCCAGAACUUUCUUAUUGUUAGAAGAACAGAAAGCUAAAUACUUCCCCAGGAAAUAAAGCAAGCUCAGAAAUGAAUUUUAACAAGUUUUACUGAAAAUCAUAAAAUAGAAAAUACAAUAUGCUCAAAUUACACAGCAUUUUAAAAGGGUUUCUGAAUAAAUUGAAAUUAAAGUAAUGAUAUAGAGAAAUAAUUAGGUUUUAACAGCUUGUGCUAUCUUGAAAUAAAGAGUUACAAGAGAAAGGAUUAAGAUUCCUGUAAAAGAAAUAAGAAUUAAGAGAGAUUUAACCUAAUUAAAGUAAUAAUUCUUUUCCCUUCUACUGGCCAGGCUGGAAAGAAUGUUUCAUCAAAAAGAAAAAGAAAAAAAGGUACUUUACUUUAUAAGCUACUAUACUUUAGAGAAGGUAUCCUUAUUAGUAGAGCACGAAUAUACCUUAAUUCCCUAGAAUUAUACAUAUUGUAUCUACCUUUGAAUCAUCAUUUAUAUUAUCUCUGCAAGUAAAGCCUAGAAUUUCAUAUAGCCAGGUAGGUCUAAAAUGAGAAAAAUACCUGUCAAGUUUACCAGCACAUCCUUGAGUCCCUGAGAAAAAUAUUACACAGUUUCUCUUUCAUUGGGGUCACCUUAUUGUCUGUCUCUUGACCCAUUUUAACUACAAUAUUCAAAGGCUUAGUGAAAGAAUAAACUAUAUCAAAGCAUUCUCUGUAACAUUCUUAACAUAUGUCUUUCAUAUAGAAGCACAAAACUAAUUGGUAGAAACCAUCACUCUCCCAUCAGAGCUCGUCCACAAACUACGGUAAGAUCUUGGGUAACAUGGUUCACAUGAGAUAUAAUGUAAUGGAUGUAUGAAUAAACAUGACUCAAUCCGUUCCAAAAGUCAUUCACACUUUCAUCUGCUAUUUUCCAUUCUGCAGCAAUUGGUUUAUUUGCACAAGUCUUUCUUCCAUUUCAUCAGCUGCUGAUGCAGUAAUAUAAGUUUUGGGUUUUGUUUUACAUAUCUCACAGUGUACAAUAGACACACAUAUCCCAGCCAUCAACAGAUAUUUACAAAUCAGCUACCUUCUGUGUGCUCCCUUUCAACACUAAUGAAUUUCCAGAGGUGUAAAACAACAAAGAGUCUUAUGGUAAUUAAAGACAAAGUUAAAGAAGUGGUUAGUGGCCCAUCACAAAGUGAUCUAUGGUUCUAACCUUGACUACCCAGAAGGAAGUCCUACUGAAUUCAGUUAGGCUGAAGCCCUAACCCAACUUAAGAUGAGAGUAAACCUAUCUCAAUAGCUUGACUUCAGAGUUUAGUAUUAACUUGACAUAAUGUUUCAUUUCCCUCACUCAGGCAUCAGGGAGGGAUAGUUUAGCACCCUGCUGAUAUUUUGCAUUUUGUAUCUUAGAUUAUAUGAAUUACUCCUGCCACUGAACUGCAAAUAAGUCUCCCCCCCAAUUGUAACAAUUUAUUUAAUAAACUUGUAUUUUAUUCAGAAGUUGGCAAUGUGCAUGUCAGCUGAAACAUAACAUUCAGGGUAAUCGCCAUGCGAAAAGAAUGAUUUCUCCAUGUGAAAACAACAAUAAUGCACACAAUGCAUUCUAUUGCUUUUUGAAAUUCACAGUGGGAAGCGAGCCCCACUGAAUUCUGUGAGAUUGACUUCUCAGCCUUAGUGCAUAUAGUCUGUCUCAAGCAAUGACCAACUUCAAUAAACAACACUCCC
rnacentral:lncRNA from 1 species